GUUCUGCGCGAUAACAUCCAGGGAAUCACCAAACCCGCCAUCCGUCGUCUCCAUGUGACUGUCACUGAACUGUUACCAGUGUUUGUGUACAUGACCGACCAAUGGUGGUGAAGAAGGAGAGACUGAAGGAGAGAAAGGUUUUCAUCAGAUGUGCUUCAGUAAUUUCCACAGUCGCUUUGGGAUCAUGCAGGUUUUCCAGAACUUUGGUGUGUAUUACGAGGAACAAGAGAACAUCGAGAAACAAAAGGAAGAAGAGAAGAAAAAGAAGGAGGAAACAGAUCAUUAAACUGAAUAAACUUGACCUGCACACAGCAGAGCAGCAUCAGACUGCAGAAGUUUGUCUUCCUCAUGUGGCGUCACUACAACUACGAGCGAAUGAGACAAGGAGCUGAUUUCUACCUGCUUCAGUCCAACUCCACUUAUGUGAACAUCUGGACUGCUGUUCAGAGUCUCGUCAUCAUCACCGCUGGAUACCUGCAGCUCAGCUUCCUCAAGAGGCUCUUCAAGAGCAAACCAGCAGAGGGCGACAAACCCCGCUGUUAACAAACUCUAGAACUGCGACUGUUUCACCUCCAUUUAUAACCUGAUCUUCAGUGAUUAUUCUGAUCUUGAGUAACAGAUUUUUUCUUUUUCUUUUUUUCUUUUAGUAACAACAAGGUCUCAUUUGAACUGUUUUUUUGCUUCUUUUUUAAUGCAGAGAUUUAAUAAUUUUGCCCUUGUCCAAUGAAAGAGACUUAAGAAUAUGAAAGUAUAUAAUAUUUCCAUCACACCGAACAAUUACAAGAAGACAACAGUGAAGAUGCUCGAGAUGAAAUGUGACACAUCUGAUGAGUAUAGGAAAUAAAGGAAAGUCAAAGUAAA